UACGGAGGGUGCAAGCGUUAUCCGGAUUCACUGGGUUUAAAGGGUGCGUAGGCGGGCAGUUAAGUCAGUGGUGAAAUCCUGGAGCUCAACUCCAGAACUGCCAUUGAUACUAUCUGUCUUGAAUAUUGUGGAGGUAAGCGGAAUAUGUCAUGUAGCGGUGAAAUGCUUAGAUAUGACAUAGAACACCUAUUGCGAAGGCAGCUUACUACGCAUAUAUUGGCGCUGAGGCACGAAAGCGUGGGGAUCAAACAGG
rnacentral:rRNA from 1 species